rnacentral:tRNA from 1 species
GGAAGGGUGGCCGAGCGGUUUAUGGCGGUGGUCUUGAAAACCAUUGAACGAAAGUUCCGGAGGUUCGAAUCCUCUCCCUUCCGCCA